ensembl:lncRNA
CCCAGUGGGAGGGGGGCAAAGAUGGCUUUAAGUCACCCGGGCAUCUUUCCAGUUCUGAGUUGUCACAUGCACUAGGCAGAGGAGUGGCUGCUCUAAUUUCCCACAGUUUGUCCCCAGGGGCUGCCCAUGUGCUACUCUGCAUCCCCCAGAAGCAGAGAGUUUCUAUGGCCCUAAGUGACAGAGAGACAUAUGCCCCCAGCCCGGCAUUCAUACUCCAGGCCAAUGUUUUCAGUGGUGGGAGGCAGCAAAGAGCCACUUGUUGCAGCCUGAUGCAGGUCUUAUGCUGGGGCAAUUCUGCCCUGGUGACUGCAGGGCUUUCCUGGCCCCUCUAGCCCACCGGAGCAGCCUGCAGGGGCCUCGGCAGAGAGGAGAAUCCCUCCCCUGUGUCUCUUGAAGCCUAAACCUUGUUUUUAGGAACAAGAAUGUUUAGUAGCACUGAGAAAACGACCUUUCGUCCUGGGGAAUCUGAUUUACUGAGUCUGUUUUUAUCAACAGCUAAUUCUUCCCCACCCCCAACAGAAAGGUCAUUAUCAGCGACAGAUAAUUCUUCCCCUAAUUCAACAGAAAGGUCAUCAACGACAGUGCAACCAGCUUCUUCUUCCACGUCAAAAUCUACUUCCAUCUCCUCCACUGCUGAGAAAGGGAAAUCCAGCUUCUCCAGUGACCAGGACAUCACUGCCUUCAUCCUAAACCAUGAGCUCUCUCCCUGGGAUGUGGUGCUGUAUGGGCUAAACCCUACGGAACGGUCAAUUCUGCCUGGGCUACAGCUCGGAGGAACAAGUGAAGAUCUUCUGGACUAGAACUGUGACCCCUCUUCCUUCUCUGCAGUUCAGUGGGGCUGCUCAUGUGCUUAAAAUGAUGCACAAGCUUAGCUCUGUCAGGUCACAUCUGAUUACAACCCUCCCCCAUUAAACCACUAAGAUGUGCGUGCCCUGCCUGCUGGGAAAGCCAUGGGGUCAUACUGCUGUAACCAUCGCCCUUCCUCAUUCAUUUCCCUCCUCACAGCUUGUUCCUCCCACUUCCUGCACCACGCCUGAGAGUCUGCCCCUGCAAGCAGUAGGCACGUGAGCCAUUUGAGUCACAUGACUAGUCCCAUGGACAUCUACAUCCUGGUCUAUACAAUCUAUUCCUGAUAAAGAGUCAGCAAAGGGUGCAGCGAAUCAGCACUGAACAAGCUCCUGCUGUAGACAAGCUGCAAGAUCUAGAGCCAAACUAUUUCAAACUAAGAAUUUUAAAAAUCGAAUGAUCUUUUCCCCGUAUAUUUUGUUCACUUUUUGAGCUCUGUGCAUCUUCCAGAAUGAAAGCCGAAGGGGCAUCCUUACUUAUUUACACUGGAAUUUAAAACAAUGCGUGGAAACAUCUCUGUUGGUCUUAGGUAUGAUCUGACGCUGUCCCUUUAAACAAAAGAAGAUUUCUAUCAGCUAAAAUUAAAAGUGGAUUAAAACUACAGAAUCCCUGGCACCAGGAAAAAACCUAGUGGAAACCAAAAUGUCUCAGGCCUUUAUCCUGCAAACCCUUCCACAUACUUGCUUAACUUUAAGCAUGUUUAGAACAUUAAGUAUUUGCUUAAAAUGUUUGUAGGAUUGGAGCUGAAAAUAGCAAAGAAUUAACAAAAGUCACCACAAGUUAGUUAAAGCUCAUAUUUAUCAGCUGUGCCAGAGAGGCUGCUGCUCAUUUCUGCUCAUCUCAAAGACAAGACUAAAAAAAGGGGCAGAGGAAGUUAGUUACGUAGCUGGCUAUGCACAUUCCCAUGCUGCGUGAGAUAGUGUCCAGAUAAAAUCCUCUGCAUGAUAAAUGAGCCAGGAGGUGGGGGAAAUCACCAGACUAACGCAGCUUUGGGCAUCCUUAAACUUGCCCCACCCAGCAUCAGCUACAAUAUUAGUGUCAGCUGGGCAGGAGGGGGUGGCUGGGUGUGACCAACCCACUCGUAGGGAUCCAGACAAAGCUUCACCCUCAAAGUUUCUAUGACCUGGGCAGACAACAAAGGGGUGGAGGAUAAUAUUAUCUACGAAUAAAGGUGCUGAUACAGCUAGAGCA